AGCAUCACUCCCACCAUGUUCUAUUGACAAAGAGUCCAGGAGCAGCCUAGACUCAAAGGAGGUGAAAAGAGUCUGUCUCUUAAUGUGGAAAUGAUGAGGUCAAACUGCAAAAUCAUCUGUGGAAUGGGAGAUGUGAUUCAUCAACCAUCUCUGCAAGUACUUAGGGAUGUUGGGAUGGGGAGAAUGUGUUUUAUGUGUGAGAAGAACAUGAAUUUGGGGGAGGCUAGAGGAGAGGAAGUGAACUGUGUGUCUCCCCAGGUUUACAUGCUAAAGUUCUAACCCCCAGUACCUGAGAAUGAAACCUUAUUUGGAAGUAUGGUCACUGCAGAUAUAAUUAGUUAAGAGGGGCCCCCUGUUCCCAUAAUGGUGUCCUUAUGAAAAAGAGAAGCGUGGACACAAACGGGCACAUAGGGAAAACAACGUGUGAGGGGAGAUCUGAGUGAAGGGGCAAAAUCCAAAGAACGUCAAAGACCACGAGCAAACCCACAGGAUCAAGGGGAGAGGCCUGGGGCAGCCUGUCUUUCAAAGCUCUCAGAAGGAACCAGUUGUCCAGAACCAUAGAGCACAUGUCUGCUGUGAAAGCCAGCUGGCCUGUGGUGCAUUGUGAAGGAGCCUGGGAAACUAUUGCCAGUAGCCCUGGGACCUUUGUUGAGCACCAAGCCUGGGAUUAAUUAACAACCAAAAGAACAUGCCCAGAGACAGGAACUACAAGAUCAGUGAAUCAUGAAAUCGUCACUAGAAACCACCACCGACGGAGCCCUUUCUGCAGCUGCAGUGUUGCUGUUCUUCUUGUUGAACCUCAGCUGGGAAAACUCAAGGGAUACAGAACUCACCACCUCCCUCCCCCAGCUCAUUCGCACAUAAGACCAUGCUCUGUCUUCUAAAAAUAUUCCUUUGUUUUGAAACAAAAUCUUCCCCUCUUCAACUUUCACAUCUUCAAAAGAUGGGAAUACAGUCUUAACAGUCUUAACAGUCUUGAAAACACAAAAAUGAAAUUUGGUGAUAAGAAAAUAAGAAUAAGUGGCCAAAAUAAACAGAAUUCAGAAGCUUGCUGUUUUAACUGGGAGCAUCAUUCACAAGGAACAUUAAUAUCUGCUAAUGAGAAUGUAUAAUCCUUUUAAUGGACUGCUAUCAGAAGCGAAGCCUGGGGAAGGAAACAUCUCAUAACAAGCAUGCUUUGCAACGCCCAGGCUCAUUUAGCAAACCCACAGUUUCACGAAUAAAAGGUCAGAUAAUUUUGGCUCUCUCCCACAUAGAGCUUAUUAGUAGCCCCUGCAGAAAUGACUUCCCUUCAUUUACAUAUUAAAAUAAUAUUGUUU
ensembl:lncRNA